rnacentral:rRNA from 1 species
UUGGCUUAGAAGCAGCCAUCAUUUAAAGAAAGCGUAAUAGCUCACUGGUGGAGUCGGCCUGCGCGGAAGAUGUAACGGGGCUAAACUAUGCACCGAAGCUGCGGCAGCGACACUAUGUGUUGUUGGGUAGGGGAGCGUUCUGUAAGCCUGUGAAGGUGUGUCGUGAGGCAUGCUGGAGGUAUCAGAAGUGCGAAUGCUGACAUAAGUAACGAUAAAGCGGGUGAAAAGCCCGCUCGCCGGAAGACCAAGGGUUCCUGUCCAACGUUAAUCGGGGCAGGGUGAGUCGACCCCUAAGGCGAGGCCGAAAGGCGUAGUCGAUGGGAAACGGGUUAAUAUUCCCGUACUUGGUGUUACUGCGAAGGGGGGACGGAGAAGGCUAUGUUGGCCGGGCGACGGUUGUCCCGGUUUAAGCGUGUAGGUGUGUGUUCCAGGUAAAUCCGGUUCACUUUAACACUGAGGCGUGACGACGAGGCACUACGGUGCUGAAGCAACAAAUGCCCUGCUUCCAGGAAAAGCCUCUAAGCAUCAGGUAACAUCAAAUCGUACCCCAAACCGACACAGGUGGUCAGGUAGAGAAUACCAAGGCGCUUGAGAGAACUCGGGUGAAGGAACUAGGCAAAAUGGUGCCGUAACUUCGGGAGAAGGCACGCUGACACGUAGGUGAAGUGAUUUACUCAUGGAGCUGAAGUCAGUCGAAGAUACCAGCUGGCUGCAACUGUUUAUUAAAAACACAGCACUGUGCAAACACGAAAGUGGACGUAUACGGUGUGACGCCUGCCCGGUGCCGGAAGGUUAAUUGAUGGGGUCAGCGCAAGCGAAGCUCCUGAUCGAAGCCCCGGUAAACGGCGGCCGUAACUAUAACGGUCCUAAGGUAGCGAAAUUCCUUGUCGGGUAAGUUCCGACCUGCACGAAUGGCGUAAUGAUGGCCAGGCUGUCUCCACCCGAGACUCAGUGAAAUUGAACUCGCUGUGAAGAUGCAGUGUACCCGCGGCAAGACGGAAAGACCCCGUGAACCUUUACUAUAGCUUGACACUGAACAUUGAGCCUUGAUGUGUAG